rnacentral:rRNA from 1 species
UACGUAGGGUGCAAGCGUUGUCCGGAAUCAUUGGGCGUAAAGCGCGCGUAGGCGGCCCGAUAAGUCCGCUGUAAAAGUCAACGGCUCAACUGUUGAAAGCCGGUGGAUACUGUCGGGCUAGAGUACGGAAGAGGCAAGUGGAAUUCCUGGUGUAGCGGUGAAAUGCGUAGAUAUCGAGAGGAACACCUGCGGCGAAGGCGGGUUGCUGGGCUGAUACUGACGCUGAGGCGCGAAAGCCAGGGGAGCGAACGGG